GCUGGCCCAGCCUCCGCCUUCUCCACGGUCUCUGUCUAUGGAAGCUGGGACCAUCAAGAAGAAGCAGUGACAGUCUGCACAAGAAGACACCAGGAGUGAUGGGCUUUCAAGAAGAAUUUGCUUUUCCUGUAGAUAUCAGAGGACUUUGUGAGGGGAAAAAAUACUCACUGAAGACUAUGCAAGGCAAAAAACAAUUCUUAUAUGAAGAAACUGAACCACGAAUGAGCUAGAAGGAGGGAAAAGUGUAUUAAGAAGUGAUGACCUGUGCCCAGCUGGUGUUAACGGUGGUAAGGAACUCAAGAUCUACUGAGCCAGAGUCCAGUGAAACCACCUCGUGGCUGGAUUGGGUCAGCCAGCAGUGGGAAACACCUAGCACUUUUGCAUGGAAUGAACAAGGAGAAUUAGUGACUUACGCACCACAGCUUGAGUUAAACCAACAACUGGUAGUGGUAUGUACUCUCUUCUCCCAGCAGUGGGACACUGAGGUCUGCUCUUAUCAGGCAGAUACCUUUUGUGCUGGUCUGUUUAUCAUUAUGAGACAAACUUGUCCAUGCUGUUUCUCCACCAGUGAGAGCUGAACAAUACCAGGGAUGAAUUUGGGUCUUGCAGACCAUUAGACUGCUGCCUUUGGCAGUACUGCAGUACACAGUAGGGCUGAGAUUCAAUGUUGACAUUUCUUCAUACUUUUGCUUCCUCUUGAGAAUAAAUACACAUUGUAGAGUUCUUUUUUUUUUUUUCUUUUCUUUUUUUUUUUUUCCUAUAUCAAGAGGACAAGGUUGUAUUUUUGCAUAGCAUGUAAUUAACAAAACACUCUGAUUAAUCUGAGGGGGGGAUUUUCUUUUUUUUUUUAAAUCAGCCUUCUAAUCUGCAUUUCUACUGCUUUUUAACAAGUCAGUACAUACUGCCUCAGGGUGUUUUGUAUAGGGUAAUAACCAGAUGAGUUAUUAUGCUUCAUGCUGUUAACCUGAGCUGAUUACUAAAUCCUUGGAAAAGGUUUACAUACAUAGCCCUUUACCACUGUCAAAAAUUUGCACAGAAUGUUUUUCUACAUCCC